rnacentral:rRNA from 1 species
GACGAACGCUGGCGGCGUGCUUAACACAUGCAAGUCGAGCGGUAAGGCCCUUUCGGGGGUACACGAGCGGCGAACGGGUGAGUAACACGUGGGUGACCUGCCCUCAGCUCUGGGAUAAGCCUGGGAAACUGGGUCUAAUACCGGAUAUGACUCCAUGACGCAUGUCGUGGGGUGGAAAGCCUUGUGCGGCUGGGGAUGGGCCCGCGGCCUAUCAGCUUGUUGGUGGGGUGAUGGCCUACCAAGGCGACGACGGGUAGCCGGCCUGAGAGGGCGACCGGCCACACUGGGACUGAGACACGGCCCAGACUCCUACGGGAGGCAGCAGUGGGGAAUCUUGCGCAAUGGGCGAAAGCCUGACGCAGCGACGCCGCGUGAGGGAUGAC